GAGGACAAUUGUAGCCUUCAAUUGGCGUCAUAUUUUCGUUUGUAAAUUUUCCUUUUUCCCCCAAAUCCUUCUCGUGGAAGUGAGUAUCUGGUUCUCGAGAGCUUUGCAUUGUUGACUCCGAUGGAUCGAACACAGAUAGAUCUGUUAGGGCUGCCGAUCUUUCUGCUUUUCACUGAUAUCGUGAAUCUUUUUACUCCCCCGCCUCCUAAACCGGCCAAUCACUCUCCACCUCGAGUUCACUAUCAGCCUAAAUCUGAAUCAGUCAUCCAGGAACCGAUUCAAUUUCCUACGGAGAAACAGAGCGGAAUCGGAGGAAUUGGCCAUGGCAGCGUUAUCAAUAUCAAUUUCUACGUUUCUUGUUCUUCAGGUAGUUCAUCUUCAUUAUUAUAAAAGUUUGUGUCUAUCUGUCUCAUUUUGGGCGGAAAAGGAACUGCAAUAACGAUGAAAAAUAUGCUGGAGUAAUCAUUUCCUGGACUUGAAGUUAUUUUGGCGAAUUAUCCCCCACCCAUCCCAAAGCGUCCUCUCAGUAAAGUAGUACCCGUCGUUCAAUUUGGAAUCGUUGCAACAAUAAUGGCGGGGGAACAGAUUUUUCCUAGGUUGGGGAUGGCACCACCACCUUGGUACUAUUCCUUGCGUGCUAAUAGGUUUGGAAGCAUCGCAAGCACGUGGCUGUUUGCAAAUUUUAUCCGGUCGUUCUUGUUAGACGAACACGACUCUCCACAAUAGUAUGAUAUUGUCCCCUUUGAG